AACGCGAAGAACCUUACCUGGGCUCGAAAUUCAGGGGACGUUGUCAGAGAUGACAAUUCCCGCAAGGGCCGCUGAAUAGGUGCUGCAUGGCUGUCGUCAGCUCGUGCCGUGAGGUGUUUGGUUAAGUCCAGCAACGAGCGCAACCCUUAUCAUUAGUUGCCAACACGCGAGGUGGGGACUCUAAUGAGACUGCCUGGGUUAACCAGGAGGAAGGUGAGGAUGACGUCAAGUCCGCAUGGCCUUUAUGUCCAGGGCUACACACGUGCUACAAUGGUCGGUACAGAAGGCAGCGAAACCGCGAGGUGGAGCAAAUCCCCAAAACCGAUCUCAGUUCAGAUUGUAGUCUGCAACUCGGCUACAUGAAGUUGGAAUUGCUAGUAAUGGCGUGUCAGCAACAACGCCGUGAAUACGUUCCCGGGCCUUGUACACACCGCUACAGU
rnacentral:rRNA from 1 species